GAACGUGCGAAACGUAAUGUGAAUUGCAGAAUUCAGUGAAUCAUCGAAUCUUUGAACGCAUCUUGCGCUCCUUGGCAUUCCGAGGAGCAUGCCUGUUUGAGUGUCGUGAAAUACUCUCAAUUUCAAUCUUUUUCGUUUGAAAUUGGAUUUGGAUGAUGUUGUGAUAACCACAGCUCAUUCUAAAUACAUUAGCGAUCUGGGUUUGAUCACAUGCAAUGUGAUAAGUUAAAAACAAAGCAUUGUUAAAGAUUGAGUCUCAGAUAGCUUCUAACUGUCGAAAGACAACAAGCAUAUAUAUAUGCAUGUCAUUUGACCUCAAAUCAGGUAGGACUACCCGCUGAACUUAA
rnacentral:misc_RNA from 1 species